UCUGUCUCUCUCUGUCUGUCUGUCUCUCUCUCUCUCUGGAUUUCCUUCUUCACUGUAGAUUCAAGGUCUUUUCUCAUCUCUUGGGGUUGAAAGCAUUUUUAACUGUACCUCUGAAUAAGGACUUAAUUGAAACAGGUCAAUUCUUGGAUUUUAAAGUGUUCAGCCAUUAUGGUCUCUGGUAAUACAUGAUGCUUUUAUUCUUAGAUGCCAGAAAAAGAGGUGGAGACCUUCUUCUUUCAGAUAGAAAUUGCUCAGCUCCUGCCCCUCAUCUUCAGUACAUCCUAGGCACACAAAGACAUUUUUGUGGGAGAGAAAAUGUUUGUGGUCACAAGGCAGAGGGAUGGUGAGCAGCAUGCCGGGGAGUCUGUUACUGGUGGAUCCUUCAAGUUGUGCUGACCAUGUAAACCCAUUGGACAGAACACUAAAGUGAGCUUUCGCCUAAAAGAAGACCUGAGAGAGUGCAGAGAGGAGAGGAGGGUCAAGGAAGCUAUGAAGAAACACUCACCGUUCAUUAAGUUCUCCCUUCACCCUCUAUACUUUACCUGUAGCAUCUCUGACAACUUGAGAAUUGCUCCAGCAGAGCAAGAUCCUGAAUAUCAUCACCAAAAUCAUUGUGAAGAAGAGCAUUGUGCUCCCUUCUGAGUUGGCAGAAAACAAAGAGAAGUAAGAGAAGUUCUACGAAGUGAUCCCCAAGAAUUUGAGGAUUGCACUGGCCCCAGGCUCUGGCUUCAGCACAGGGCACAUUUCUUGGGCUCCACCUGUAGCAGCUGUGACUCCAGAUUCCAGGCUCUCCAGUCUUCCCUAAAGGUUAUUCAUCAUACAAUACAAGAAAGUCAGCCUACUGGCAAGUCCACAGGUCCACUACCAGUUUCCUUUUGUUCAAGACUGGUGAAUUAUCUGGGUCAAUCAAAUAGCCAAAGCGAUUCUGGAAGCAACUUGGAAAGGAAAGGACCCUACAUGGGGAUUUUCUCUACUCCUAUGGCUGUGGCAGUAUCUGGCAUUACACCACAGAUCCACCACACACUGGUCAAGAAAGUGAAAGCCAUAGAUGCUGCCAUCAAAUGGACUGUCUCCCAGACUAUCGAACCAUUAAAGUUAAUAUUAUCAUUGGCACCAA